rnacentral:rRNA from 1 species
AGAGUUUGAUCCUGGCUCAGGACGAACGCUGGCGGCGUGCUUAACACAUGCAAGUCACGGGGGCCCGCAAGGGCAACCGGCGAACGGGUGCGUAACACGUGAGCAACCUGCCUUGAUGUGGGGGAUAGCCGGCCCAACGGCCGGGUAAUACCGCAUACGAUCAGUGGGAGGAGUCUCCUGCUGAGGAAACCUCCGGGGCA